UACAGAGGUCUCAAGCGUUGUUCGGAUUCAUUGGGCGUAAAGGGUGUGUAGGUGGCGCCGUAAGUCGGGUGUGAAAUUUCGGAGCUUAACUCCGAAACUGCAUUCGAUACUGCGGUGCUUGAGGACUGGAGAGGAGACUGGAAUUCAUGGUGUAGCAGUGAAAUGCGUAGAGAUCAUGAGGAAGACCAGUGGCGAAGGCGGGUCUCUGGACAGUUCCUGACACUGAGGCACGAAAGCUAGGGGAGCAAACAGG
rnacentral:rRNA from 1 species